UAGGGAAUCUUGGACAAUGGGCGAAAGCCUGAUCCAGCCAUGCCGCGUGAGUGAAGAAGGCCUUAGGGUUGUAAAGCUCUUUUAGCGGGGAAGAUAAUGACGGUACCCGCAGAAUAAGCCCCGGCUAACUUCGUGCCAGCAGCCGCGGUAAUACGAAGGGGGCUAGCGUUGUUCGGAAUUACUGGGCGUAAAGCGCACGUAGGCGGAUUGGUAAGUUAGGGGUGAAAUCCCGAGGCUUAACCUCGGAACUGCCUUUGAUACUGCCAGUCUUGAGUCCGGGAGAGGUGAGUGGAAUUCCUAGUGUAGAGGUGAAAUUCGUAGAUAUUAGGAAGAACACCAGUGGCGAAGGCGGCUCACUGGCCCGGAACUGACGCUCAGGUGCGAAAGCGUGGGGAGCAAACAGGAUUAGAUACCCCCGUAGUCC
rnacentral:rRNA from 1 species